GACGAACGCUGGCGGCGUGCCUAAUACAUGCAAGUCGAGCGGCAGCACGGGUGCUUGCACCUGGUGGCGAGUGGCGAACGGGUGAGUAAUACAUCGGAACGUACCUUAUCGUGGGGGAUAACGCAGCGAAAGCUGUGCUAAUACCGCAUACGCCCUGAGGGGGAAAGCGGGGGAUCGCAAGACCUCGCGCGAUUAGAGCGGCCGAUGCCUGAUUAGCUUGUUGGUGGGGUAAAAGCCCACCAAGGCGACGAUCAGUAGCUGGUCUGAGAGGACGAUCAGCCACACUGGGACUGAGACACGGCCCAGACUCCUACGGGAGGCAGCAGUGGGGAAUUUUGGACAAUGGGGGCAACCCUGAUCCAGCAAUGCCACGUGAGUGAAGAAGGCCUUCGGGUUGUAAAGCUCUUUUGUCAGGGAAGAAACACCGGCUCUAACACAGUCCGGGAAUGACGGUACCUGAAGAAUAAGCACCGGCUAACUACGUGCCAGCAGCCGCAGUAA
rnacentral:rRNA from 1 species